GUUUGGAUGUGGGGGUUUGCUGGCCUCUUAAAAGGGUUCAGCUCUCCUGAAAUGCAUUAGCAGAACAAACCUUGUGUUCAUUGGUGUGAUAACUAUCUACGCUAUCGAAUGUCGAGGGGGCAGUUCAGCUUUCUAACGGUCUUUGGACAACUCAUCAUUAAUGUGACCUCAAAUCAGGUAGGACUACCCGCUGAACUUAA
rnacentral:misc_RNA from 1 species